rnacentral:rRNA from 1 species
AGCGAACGCUGGCGGCAGGCCUAACACAUGCAAGUCGAACGAAGUCUUCGGACUUAGUGGCGGACGGGUGAGUAACACGUGGGAACGUGCCUUUAGGUUCGGAACAACUCAGGGAAACUUGAGCUAAUACCGGAUGUGCCCUUCGGGGGAAAGAUUUAUCGCCAUUGGAGCGGCCCGCGUCUGAUUAGCUAGUUGGUGAGGUAAAGGCUCACCAAGGCGACGAUCAGUAGCUGGUCUGAGAGGAUGAUCAGCCACAUUGGGACUGAGACACGGCCCAAACUCCUACGGGAGGCAGCAGUGGGGAAUCUUGCGCAAUGGGCGAAAGCCUGACGCAGCCAUGCCGCGUGAAUGAUGAAGGUCUUAGGAUUGUAAAAUUCUUUCACCGGGGACGAUAAUGACGGUACCCGGAGAAGAAGCCCCGGCUAACUUCGUGCCAGCAGCCGCCGUAAAAC